UAGUUAACGGUAGGUGGAGCAUAAACC
rnacentral:piRNA from 1 species